rnacentral:rRNA from 1 species
AGUAACGCGUGGGAAUCUACCCAGUUCUCUGGAAUAACUGAUGGAAACGUCAGCUAAUACCGGAUACGCCCUUUUGGGGAAAGAUUUAUCGGGAUUGGAUGAGCCCGCGUAAGAUUAGCUAGUUGGUGGGGUAA